rnacentral:rRNA from 1 species
AUUGAACGCUGGCGGCAGGCCUAACACAUGCAAGUCGAGCGGAUGAAGGGAGCUGGCCCCGGAUUUAACGGCCGGACGGGGGGGAAAGGCAGAGAUCUCUGCGGUGGUGGGGGGGAUCGCGUGGGGAAGCGCGCUAUUAUCGCGUAUGCGCUGUGGGGGAGAGAGGGGGGGAUUCGGAGAUCACGCUCUAUCAGAUGAGCCUAGGUCGGAUUAGCUAGUUGGUGGGGUAAAGGCCUACCAAGGCGACGAUCCGUAACUGGUCUGAGAGGAUGAUCAGUCACACUGGAACUGAGACACGGUCCAGACUCCUACGGGAGGCAGCAGCGGGGAAUAUUGGACAAUGGGCGAAAGCCUGAUCCAGCCAUGCCGCGUGUGUGAAGAAGGUCUUCGGAUUGUAAAGCACUUUAAGUUGGGAGGAAGGGCAGUAAGUUAAUACCUUGCUGUUUUGACGUUACCAACAGAAUAAGCACCGGCUAACUUCGUG